AGAGUUUGAUCCUGGCUCAGAACGAACGCUGGCGGCGUGCUUAACACAUGCAAGUCGUACGAGAAAGCUCCCUUCGGGGAGUGAGUAAAGUGGCGCACGGGUGAGUAACGCGUGGGUAACCUGCCCUAGAGACCGGGAUAACUCGCCGAAAGGCGCGCUAAUACCGGAUAUACUUCUCAUUUCUUCGGAUUUGGGAAGAAAAGGUGGCCUCUCGAAGAAGCUGCCGCUCAAGGAUGGGCCCGCGUCCCAUUAGCUUGUUGGUAGGGUAAUGGCCUACCAAGGCAACGAUGGGUAGCUGGUCUGAGAGGAUGAUCAGCCACACUGGAACUGAGACACGGUCCAGACUCCUACGGGAGGCAGCAGUGGGGAAUAUUGCGCAAUGGGGGAAACCCUGACGCAGCAACGCCGCGUGAGUGAAGAAGGCCUUCGGGUUGUAAAGCUCUGUCAGGUGGGAAGAAAGGUCAAAGAUGAAUAGUCUUUGGCUUNGA
rnacentral:rRNA from 1 species